rnacentral:rRNA from 1 species
AUUGAACGCUGGCGGCAUGCCUUACACAUGCAAGUCGAACGGUAACAGGUUAAGCUGACGAGUGGCGAACGGGUGAGUAAUGUAUCGGAACGUGCCCAGUUGUGGGGGAUAACUGCUCGAAAGAGCAGCUAAUACCGCAUACGACCUGAGGGUGAAAGCGGGGGAUCGCAAGACCUCGCGCAAUUGGAGCGGCCGAUAUCAGGUUAGGUAGUUGGUGGGGUAAAGGCUCACCAAACCGACGAUCUGUAGCUGGUCUGAGAGGACGACCAGCCACACUGGGACUGAGACACGGCACAGACUCCUACGGGAGGCAGCAGUGGGGAAUUUUGGACAAUGGGCGCAAGCCUGAUCCAGCCAUGCCGCGUGCGGGAAGAAGGCCUUCGGGUUGUAAACCGCUUUUGUCAGGGAAGGAACGCUCUGGGUUAAUACCCUGGGGUAAUGACGGUACCUGAAGAAUAAGCACCGGCUAACUACGUGCCAGCCGCCGCGGUAA